CCCCUAUCACGUGUGAUUUGAUGUUAAAAGUAAAAUGUGAUUUGAUAUAAAGUUAUUGACGUGUUAAUAUAAGUUUCACGCUUUUAAAAAGGUCAUCAGCGACGAAUAGUUAUAUCAGAAAGACAACUGUGCUAAAGUUGCGUCUGCAAGUAAGGAGUUCAUACAAAAAGAGGAAAGGGACAAAACAUAGAAAGAUAAAAACAUAGAAACUUCCUCGACAAAUUGGGGGACCCAGAAAUACCCAGAGAUGGAUACGUAUCCCACUAGGAAUAACGUGCAGAAAAGCCCGGGAACUAACCUCCAAAAUGGCAAACUUCUAUCUCAUGUGCGUUUCGGAUUUUAUUUUAUUCCAAGGACUGAAGCUCUCAAACGGGAUCACUGAUACGAGGAGCAGGAUCAUUCAGAGGGAUCUUUAAGUUUCGGCACGCACAGAAUCCAAAAAUCGUACAAUUUUGUCGGUGUCUGUCUGUAUGUCUGUCUGUAUGUAUGUCUUUAUGUAUGGUUACCUGAAUGUUGUAGCAACGCUAACUUUUGAAGGAUUUAUCCAAUCAAAUCUGCAUUUGAUACACUUCUGAAGGUCCCCAAAAUGAAAGUUAAGUUAGUAAAUCAGAUAUUUUCCACCAAAAUAACAAAAUUGAGAGCAUUUUCAAAAUUUAGAAUUUUUGUUUCAAAUUUCAUUCAUUUUUGUC